rnacentral:misc_RNA from 1 species
GAUGAAGAACGUAGCGAAAUGCGAUAAGUAAUGUGAAUUGCAGAAUUCAGUGAAUCAUCGAAUCUUUGAACGCACAUUGCGCCCGCCAGUAUUCUGGCGGGCAUGCCUGUUCGAGCGUCAUUUCAACCAUCAAGCCCCAGGCUUGUGUUGGGGACCUGCGGCUGCCGCAGGCCCUGAAAACCAGUGGCGGGCUCGCUGUCACACCGGGCGUAGUAGAUUUUAUCUCGCUCAGGGCGUGCUGCGGGUUCCGGCCGUUAAAAAGCCUUUUUUACCCAAGGUUGACCUCGGAUCAGGCAGGAAGACCCGCUGAACUUAAGCAUAUCAAUAAGCGGAGGA